AUUGAACGCUGGCGGCAGGCCUAACACAUGCAAGUCGAACGGUAACAGGAAACAGCUUGCUGUUUCGCUGACGAGUGGCGGACGGGUGAGUAAUGUCUGGGAAACUGCCUGAUGGAGGGGGAUAACUACUGGAAACGGUAGCUAAUACCGCAUAACGUCGCAAGACCAAAGAGGGGGACCUUCGGGCCUCUUGCCAUCGGAUGUGCCCAGAUGGGAUUAGCUAGUAGGUGGGGUAACGGCUCACCUAUGCGACGAUCCCUAGCUGGUCUGAGAGGAUGACCAGCCACACUGGAACUGAGACACGGUCCAGACUCCUACGGGAGGCAGCAGUGGGGAAUAUUGCACAAUGGGCGCAAGCCUGAUGCAGCCAUGCCGCGUGUAUGAAGAAAGCCUUCGGGU
rnacentral:rRNA from 1 species